UUUCUGUACCUUCCUUCACAGAACGCAACAGGGAAGAAACUACCCUUUUGAAGUUGCCUGUUCCUUUAUUGGUUUGAUCAUUAUGAUCUUCUCAAAGAAUGAGCAGAAGGUGAUUAACUGUAUGCACUGGUAAACACGGCAAAGUUUUUCCACCAAUGGAAAGGAAACAGAAGGGCAUUUUUUAUUGGGGAAUUUUGAAAAGCUGGCAUGUAACUAUUGCUACAGAGUUGAAGUUCCGUGGCCUGAGAGCUGGGAAGUCUGAAGUCUGUGAAAGUUAGUACAGCUCUGUCAAACUCAUUGAGGAAUCUCAGUGCAGCACAAGGGUGGCAACGCAGUUCCAUCAUCUGCACUUGUUUGUUCCAAGAGUGUUAUUCGAGUAGAGGACUGUGACUACAUACUCACGGUGAAUAUUUAGAGUGGCAACUGGUAGUUUGCAUGUUAAAAAGUUUUUCUAUAAAUGUCAACAAUACACUCUAUUCAUAAUAUAUACAAAAGAAUAAAGAGCGC